rnacentral:rRNA from 1 species
CCCUUAGAUUGUCUGGGCGGCACGCGCGCUACAAUGAUGCAUUCAAAAAGUCUUCUGACCUUAGAAGGUUGGGUAUUCUCCAAAGUGCAUCGUGAUGGGAAUAGUUUAUUGCAAUUUUUAAUCUUGAACGAGGAAUUCCUAGUAAGUACAGGUCAUCAACUUGUGUUGAUUACGUCCCCGCCCUUUGUACACACCGCCCGUCGCUCCUACUGAUUGAGUGUCUCGGUGAAUUCGUUGAUCUUCUGUCGAUUCAGUUCACUGAUCCGACGGUGGAAAGUUGAAUGAACUUCGUCACUUAGAGGAAGGAGAAGUCGUAACA